UGCAGUCGAGCGGUAGCACAGAGAGCUUGCUCUCGGGUGACGAGCGGCGGACGGGUGAGUAAUGUCUGGGAAACUGCCUGAUGGAGGGGGAUAACUACUGGAAACGGUAGCUAAUACCGCAUAACGUCGCAAGACCAAAGUGGGGGACCUUCGGGCCUCAUGCCAUCAGAUGUGCCCAGAUGGGAUUAGCUAGUAGGUGGGGUAAUGGCUCACCUAGGCGACGAUCCCUAGCUGGUCUGAGAGGAUGACCAGCCACACUGGAACUGAGACACGGUCCAGACUCCUACGGGAGGCAGCAGUGGGGAAUAUUGCACAAUGGGCGCAAGCCUGAUGCAGCCAUGCCGCGUGUAUGAAGAAGGCCUUCGGGUUGUAAAGUACUUUCAGCGAGGAGGAAGGCAUUAAGGUUAAUAACCUUAGUGAUUGACGUUACUCGCAGAAGAAGCACCGGCUAACUCCGUGCCAGC
rnacentral:rRNA from 2 species